rnacentral:rRNA from 1 species
UACGUAGGGGGCAAGCGUUGUCCGGAUUUAUUGGGCGUAAAGCGCGUGUAGGCGGCCAGGUAGGUCCGUUGUGAAAACUCGAGGCUCAACCUCGAGACGUCGACGGAAACCAUCUGGCUAGAGUCCGGAAGAGGAGAGUGGAAUUCCGUGGUGUGAGCGGUGAAAUGCGCAGAUAUCACGGAGGAACAGCCGGUCGGCGA